rnacentral:rRNA from 1 species
CCUACGGGUGGCUGCAGUGGGGAAUAUUGCACAAUGGGGGGAACCCUGAUGCAGCGACGCCGCGUGAGUGAAGAAGUAUUUCGGUAUGUAAAGCUCUAUCAGCAGGGAAGAAGAUGACGGUACCUGACUAAGAAGCCCCGGCUAACUACGUUCCAGCAGCCGCGGUAAUACGUAGGGGGCAAGCGUUAUCCGGAUUUACUGGGUGUAAAGGGAGCGUAGACGGCGGGGCAAGUCUGGAGUGAAAGCCCGGGGCUCAACCCCGGGACUGCAUUGGAAACUGGCAUGCUGGAGUGCUGGAGAGGUAAGCGGAAUUCCUAGUGUAGCGGUGAAAUGCGUAGAGAUUAGGAGGAACACCAGUGGCGAAGGCGGCUUACUGAACAGUCACUGACGUUGAGGCUCGAAAGCGUGGGGAGCAAACAGGAUUAGAUACCCCAGUAGUC